UUUGUUUUACUUCCAAUGCUAAAAGCUCUCUCCAUCUUGAUGUAACUCACUACCGCGGUAAAAAAACGUUAAAAUGUUUUUAUUGCAUUCAUCUCUGCCACAGCCCUUAUAUAUAUAAAAACAUAUAUAACUUUGCUCUCUUUCCAACUGGCAAGUAGUUACAGCAGUGUAGAACUUGACAUGGCAUUGUUGUAUUAUCUUGGCCAAAAGAAGUUAUAGGGAGAUCAGACCAAAAUUCUGAGAAAUAGUAUGCACUCAUUACAAUGUUGUCAGGGACCAACCAGGCUCCACCACCACACAAUCACAUAGAUCACUGUCACCAGAAAAGCACCAUCCUCACAGUCACUUUGUCUGGUCUCGUUUCUGAGUAAAGACUGUCGUUGAUGCACUCACCUACCGGAAUAAGGAUAGUUUGCUACCGGCAUACCUGCGUCUUCUUCUUCCUCCUGGGUCCCGUCGUCUUCCCGCCACUCACCUCUCUCCUGUCCGUGGUGAGUGCCCCAGCUAUCUUCCUCAUCCGUGCUCAACGACAAACGACAAUCAGUACUCCAACCCUCCUUGUUCACAUUCUAACUACUCUGAAUUCCUCACCGUCCAAUUUCCUUUCACUUCCACAAUAAAGUUCUUGUACUCAACAUCUCCCUGGUUGUGAGUCUCUGUUCCAUAACAGAAGACCAGACCAAGUAGAGUAUGAGUUCCCCGGAUCCUUUCCAGGAGGUUGUUGAUGCCCUCAAACGUGCACUAUCCUCUACCACUUCUGCAUCACCUGUCACGACUUCUCAUUCAUCACCCCUGUGUUCUCCAGUCCUGUGGCCAAUCCAGUGCCCUACUCAGGCUUGGCAGAAGAUUGCGACGGAUUUUUGCUACAAUGUUCUCUGACCCUGGAGAUGCAGUCGCCCCGCUUCCCCUCCGAGCGGGCAAAGAUCACCUUCAUCAUUACCCUGCAGAGCGCUCCAUUGGGCUCAAUCAAUUUGGAACCAGAAUACUUCGGUGACACAAACCCUGGACAACUUCGUCACUCACGUGAGGUCUUCGGGACUCCGGAUGGUGAUUCCUCUGUGGGUGAGCAAUUAUAUCACCUUUGUCAAAAUAAGGAGUCUGUUUCAGAGUAUACCCUCAAGUUCCGGACCCUCGCGGCGGCCAGUGGGUGGAACGAGAGCUCGCUCCUCACCACCUCCUCGCCUGCGAUUGCAUCUCGCUGCAUACGAAGACACCAUGGGUCUCGAACGGUUCCUUCAUCUCACCAUCCGCACCGAUCGUCGUAUGCAGCCCUGCUUGGAGGACCUAGAGGGUCAGCCAUCACCUUCCCCGCCUCGCCAGCCAGAGUUGACCAGCUCUCCAGAACCAGUACCCAUGCAGUUGGACAACACAUGUCUGUCUUAUACGGAGCGGCAGAGGAGGCUGACUCAGGGUCUGUGUUUGUACUGUGGCGAUGAUAGACACAUCAUCAUCUUUGCCUGCCCCAUCUGUUCGCCACGACACAUGGUGAGUGUUAUCCAUUCCUUACCAGUGAACAUGAAACCACUCACCACUGAAGUUGUCCUUACUGCCUCUAACGUCUCUCUACCAGUACACGCCCUCCUCGACUCUGGGUCAGCUAGGAACUUCAUCUCCGAGUCCCUCUGCCGCCAGCUCCAUCUCCAGAAGAGGACCAACAAGAUCCAUUAUAAAGUCCACUCGAUAAACCUGGCCGAACAUCGCCAUCACGUGGCGGAGGUCCUCAAACGCCUCAGAGAACAUCAACUCUUCCUCAAGGCCGAGAAAUGUUCUUUCCAUCAGCCAACCGUUCAAUUCCUCGGCUACACAGUGUUCACAAUCAGUGAACACGGCAUCCAGAUGGACGAGGGGAAGGUUCAAGCGGUCCAGAACUGGCCCACACCUUCCACCAUCAAAGAACUUCAACGUUUCCUCGGAUUUUCUAAUUUCUAUCGCGGUUCAUCCAUAACUACAGUUCCAUAUCCUCUCCGUUAACCAACCUCCUCCUCCGCAAGCCCAAGUCUCUAACCAGGUUUUCCAGAGCCUUAAGGACUCAUUUAUAAGUGCACCACCCCUACUCCACGCAGACCCCAACAAACCAUUUGUUGUUGAGGUGGAUGCUUCCACGUUAGCGGUAGGCGCGGCGCUAUCUCAGCAGCAGGGGAAAUCCAGCACUUCUCCAUCCAUGCACCUACUUCUCCAAGAAACUAUCCCCGGCGGAGAUCAACUACGACAUUGGGAACUGAGAACUUCUGGCCAUCAAACUCGCCUUGGAGGAAUGGAGACACUGGCUGCAGGGGGCGAAAGAGAAAUUCACAGUUCUCACCGAUCAUAAAAAUCUACAAUAUCUCCGGAAGGCUAAACGCCUAAACCCUAGACAGGCAAAAUGGGCAUUGUUUUUCACCCGUUUAAAUUUUUCCACCUCCUAUCGUCCCGGUACAAAAAACCUCAAGGCAGAUGCUCUAUCCCGUCUCUACAACUCCGAAGAACAAACUGAAGAACCGGAGCCCAUCUUGCCUCAGAGGAUCACCCUGUGCCCCAUCCAGUGGUCCAUUCAUCAACCGCUCUCCUACUCUGCACCUACGUUCGCCAGUCACAACGCAACAAUAUCACUCACUCUGCACACUCUUCCGUGUCCACUGGCCAUCCAGGAGCCAACCGUACCCUCUCACUGCUACAAAAACGCUUCUGGUGGCCAAACAUGGCCAGGGAUGUGAGGAGGUUCGUUCAAGGAUGCCCCGACUGCACCAUCUCCAAGAGUCCACGUCAUCUCCCAUCCGGCAAACUCCUUCCGUUGCCCGUUCCCCGACACCCCUGGUCACACCUCGGAGUAGACUUCGCCACAGACCUACCUCCCUCCGAAGGUAAUACAUGUAUCUUAGUAGUAGUUGAAAGAUUCUCCAAAUCCUGUCGUCUAAUUCCUUUGAAAGGUCUACCUACUGCCACGAGUACUGCGGAACUACUCUUCAACCACGUUUUUCGACACUGGGAUUCCAGAGGACAUCGUAUCAGAUCGGGGGCCUCAGUUCAUCUCCCAGGUUUGGGGGUCCUUUUUCAGACUCCUAGGUGUGACAGUCUCUCAUCUGGGUACCAUCCUCAAACGAAUGGGCAAACAGAGAGGAAGGAGAUUGGGCGUUUUCUGAGAACCUUCUCCCAUGGCCGCCAGAACUCUUGAAACAAAUUUCUAGGCUGGGCCGAGUACGCACAGAACUCCCUCAGUCAUCCUGCCGCUGGACUCACUCCCUUCCAGUGCGUGCUCGGUUACCAGCCUCCAUUGUUCCCAUGGUCUGGGGAACCCUCCGACGUUCCCUCCGACGACUAUUGGUUCCGAAAGAGUGAGAGGGUCUGGGACGACGCCCAUCAUCUUCAAAGGGCAGUACGCAGACACAAGAUCCAGGCAGACACCCGGAGAGCGGAACCACCUACCUUCCAGCCAGGACAGAAGGUAUGGCUUUCUACACGGGACAUCAAGCUGCGCCUGCCCUGCAAGAAGCUGAGUCCCAGAUUCAUGGGCCCCUUCACCAUCACCCGAUCAACCCAGUCACCUGUCAGCUACGGUUACCUGCACAUUACAGAAUGCACCCUACUUUCCAUGUGUCACUUCUCAAGCCCUACCACUCACCGGUUUCUGUUCCCUCCCCAGAGCCUGUCCCGACAGAGGAACCCCCUCUCCCGUUAAUCCUGGAGGACGGGUCAGUCUACACAGUCCGUGAAAUCUUGGACUCCCGGCGCUGUGGUAGUCGUCUGGAGUACCUGGUGGACUGGGAGGGUUACGGACUAGAGGAACGUUCCUGACACCUAGAGGGGAUAUCCUAGAUCCGACCCUCCUUACCACCUUUCAUGAGGCUCACCCAGAUCGGCCAACACCCCGAGGAAGAGGUCGAACACCGCAACGUCGGGGUCCUCGGCCCUCAGGAGCGGGCCAUGGAGUCUGGUACUGUCAGAGACCAACCAGGCUCCACCACCACAUAAUCACAUAGAUCACUGUCACCAGAGUUCUAAUCACCUGCACGUCAUUACCUCAUCAGCACAGUCAGCACAAAAGCACCAUCCUCACACAGUCACUUUGUCUGGUCUCGUUUCUGAGUAAGGACUCUCGUCGAUGCACUUCUCACCUACCGGAAUAAGGAUAGUUUGCUAUCGGCCUACCUGCGUCUCCUUCUUCCUCCUGGGUCCCGUCGUCUUCUCGCCACUCACCUCUCUCCUGUCCAUGGACCAACACGUCACAGUGGCUGGGGGGAGGAGAUGACGGACGCAGGAUAGGGCGGCCCCGCCGCUUGUGGCGCUCGGCCAGAUGAUCGGGGAGCUGGCGGCUGUCCAGAGGGAGCAGGCAGAGGCCAGCCGACAGUUCCUGGGGGCGCUCCAGGCCCAGGUGGGGAGACAGGCCCAGGCGUUGAAUCAGCCAGUGGCCGUGCCGCUGACGCAGGGGGCCGCUGUGUUCGCCGGUUUCACGCUCCAACAAAUGACGGCGGGGGACGACGUCCAGUCGUUCCUGGAGGCCUUUGAGGCGGAGGCGUGCGGCUGGCCGGCGGGGGAGUGGCCGGUCCGGCUUUUGCCUCUCCUGACCGGGGAGGCACAGACCGCGACCAUGAGGCUACCACCGGCGGCGUGGCUACGCCAACGUUAAUAAGGCCGUGGUGGAUAGACUGGGGCUGUUGCCGGAAGAUCACCGCCAGCGAUUCCGCGAAGCCAGGCUGGGCCCGGGGAACCGGCCGUUCGCGUACGGCCAGCGGCUGAAGGACGCCGCCACCAGGUGGUUGCAGCCAGACGGUGCAGGAGGUGUGAUGGCAAAGUUCAGGGAGGGGCACCUGCCCCGCACAGCAGCGUGGGUCCGGUGCCACUGCCCAACGACCCUGGAGGCGCCCAUCACGCUGGCGGAGGGCUACUUGGCGGUGCAUCCCAGCGGGCAGAGGGACCAGGAGAGGCCGCCAAUAAACAGUAAAUUUAAUUUUGAAAUGAGAGCAAAUUAAUAAACAAGUGAUUUGUUUUUAUUGCAAACAGUUCACAAAAACAAUUCCUGCUUUUCUCAAAAGCUUAUAUCCGCAGGGACACUGAUCAUCAAAUGUUAUCAAUGUAUUCCUUGGUCCUGAUGCAUAUCAAACAAUGUAUU